AUUAAGAGCUUGCUCUUAUGAAGUUAGCGGCGGACGGGUGAGUAACACGUGGGUAACCUGCCCAUAAGACUGGGAUAACUCCGGGAAACCGGGGCUAAUACCGGAUAACAUUUUGAACCGCAUGGUUCGAAAUUGAAAGGCGGCUUCGGCUGUCACUUAUGGAUGGACCCGCGUCGCAUUAGCUAGUUGGUGAGGUAACGGCUCACCAAGGCAACGAUGCGUAGCCGACCUGAGAGGGUGCACGGCCACACUGGGACUGAGACACGACAAAAAUUAAUACGGGAGGCAGCAGUAGGGAAUCUUCCGCAAUGGACGAAAGUCUGACGGAGCAACGCCGCGUGAGUGAUGAAGGCUUUCGGGUCGUAAAACUCUGUUGUUAGGGAAGAACAAGUGCUAGUUGAAUAAGCUGGCACCUUGACGGUACCUAACCAGAAAGCCACGGCUAACUACGUGCCAGCAGCCGCGGUAAUACGUAGGUGGCAAGCGUUAUCCGGAAUUAUUGGGCGUAAAGCGCGCGCAGGUGGUUUCUUAAGUCUGAUGUGAAAGCCCACGGCUCAACCGUGGAGGGUCAUUGGAAACUGGGAGACUUGAGUGCAGAAGAGGAAAGUGGAAUUCCAUGUGUAGCGGUGAAAUGCGUAGAGAUAUGGAGGAACACCAGUGGCGAAGGCGACUUUCUGGUCUGUAACUGACACUGAGGCGCGAAAAGCGUGAUAAGCAAACAGGAUUAGAUACCCUGGUAGUCCACGCCGUAAACGAUGAGUGCUAAGUGUUAGAGGGUUUCCGCCCUUUAGUGCUGAAGUUAACGCAUUAAGCACUCCGCCUGGGGAGUACGGCCGCAAGGCUGAAACUCAAAGGAAUUGACGGGGGCCCGCACAAGCGGUGGAGCAUGUGGUUUAAUUCGAAGCAACGCGAAGAACCUUACCAGGUCUUGACAUCCUCUGACAACCCUAGAGAUAGGGCUUCUCCUUCGGGAGCAGAGUGACAGGUGGUGCAUGGUUGUCGUCAGCUCGUGUCGUGAGAUGUUGGGUUAAGUCCCGCAACGAGCGCAACCCUUGAUCUUAGUUGCCAUCAUUUAGUUGGGCACUCUAAGGUGACUGCCGGUGACAAACCGGAGGAAGGUGGGGAUGACGUCAAAUCAUCAUGCCCCUUAUGACCUGGGCUACACACGUGCUACAAUGGACGGUACAAAGAGCUGCAAGACCGCGAGGUGGAGCUAAUCUCA
rnacentral:rRNA from 1 species